rnacentral:rRNA from 1 species
GACGAACGCUGGCGGCGUGCCUAAUACAUGCAAGUCGAACGAGAGCAACCGGUGCUUGCACUGGUCAAUCUAGUGGCGAACGGGUGAGUAACACGUGGGUAACCUGCCCAUCAGAGGGGGAUAACAUCCGGAAACGGAUGCUAAAACCGCAUAGGUCUUCGAACCGCAUGGUUUGAAGAGGAAAAGAGGCGCACGCUUCUGCUGAUGGAUGGACCCGCGGUGCAUUAGCUAGUUGGUGAGGUAACGGCUCACCAAGGCCGUGAUGCAUAGCCGACCUGAGAGGGUGAUCGGCCACAUUGGGACUGAGACACGGCCCAAACUCCUACGGGAGGCAGCAGUAGGGAAUCUUCCGCAAUGGACGCAAGUCUGACGGAGCAACGCCGCGUGAGUGAAGAAGGUGUUCGGAUCGUAAAACUCUGUUGUUAGAGAAGAACAAGUGCUAGAGUAACUGUUAGCGCCUUGACGGUAUCUAACCAGAAAGCCACGGCUAACUACGUG